rnacentral:lncRNA from 1 species
UAAUAAAAAAAGAAAGAAAAAAGAUAGCAAGAAAAAAAAAAGAAAAGCAAGACAACGAAAAAAAAAAUAGGAGGAACUGUAUCACAAUUAUGCAAACUAAGGGGGAAAGAGAGGCACCUUAGAAUGAAGGCUCUCCUUACUGUCGUAAGCGCUAGAGGGAUUCUUUGCUAGAAAAGUCUCCGUGUCAGGGCUGGGGUGAAGAGAGCUGAGGGGCGCUUUGCCUUCCCUCACCGGUGCGUUUUACCUCUCGAGGCACCGUAAGUUUGAAGUCCUCCAAGUUGUGGUCGGCGCCAUCAUGACGCCGGCGACUGUGUUCAAUAGCUCACUGUGAUUGUUGAGAAGUCAACACAGGGACAAGGAAAUCUCAGAUGGUUGUCUACAGUUACAAGGGGGAUUUUUGGACUGAUUUGUGAUUUUUCUGGGAAUGCAACUCAAGUUAGAAGAGGCCAUUAUCUGAAAGAAGAAGAAGCACCAGCUGAUGUGUUGGUUAUUUUAGGGCGACAUUUGCAGUUGCUUGGGCAAUAUCAUGAGCCUCACCUCAUGCAGGUCUGGGUCCCAGACCCAAAGACUGCUCCUCCAUACUCAGAGAUACCAGCACUAACAGAGCAGCUCCUCUUCUUCAGUACAGAUGCUUCUCAACUUACAAUGAGGUUAUACCCUUAUAAACACAUGGUAGCAAGAAUACAGCUGUGAGAAGAUGCAUUGUGCCAAGAUGAAUUUAGUGAGUUUGGAAGAGGACCCUGAGCCUGAAAUGAGAAUUGCAACCCUGGCUGACACCUCCAUUUCAGUCUGACAUGACCUUAACAGAGGACCCAGAUAACCUGUACUACACACCUGACCUAUGAAAACUGUGAGAUCAUAAAUAUGUGUUGUUUUAGGCCACUAUUUUUGUGAUAAUUUAUUACACAGUGGUAGAAAACUAAUGGAAGGAUAAACAUAAUUUAAAAGGCAGGGCAACUAAUAUACUUCAAACCCUUGUCAAUAACUUAGCUACCUUUCAUCUAAUUUAUGUAUGUCCCACCUAUAGAUUGUUCCAAGUUACUGUCACAGUGUCUGGUUCC